CACACUGCCCAGCAUAUGCUGUUGUCAAUAACAAUGAUCCAAUAUUUGUCACUCAUGCGGAGUGUUCCCAGAAAUCUCUAACACUGCCUGGUUGUUUUGGAUACAUCUAUAACAAUGGGUCUUGUGUACUACAGUUUGUCGAUGGAGUGAAACUGGACACGAGUAACAAUGCGCCAAUUUUUGCUGCAGUUCUUUGCGAUAAGCUUUCUGAUGCGACAACUACAGCAUCGCCUACAACGGUAACAACUACAACAGCGCCUACUACGGUAACAACUACCGCACCAACUACUACGGUAACAACCGCCGCACCAACUACUACGGCGAAAAAUACGCCAAAACCUACUACGACCAAAAAACCAAGGAAAAAUUGCAGGAAAGGCUUUGGGACAAAUUUUCUUAGAGGAAUCAUUGAAGGCAAAAGAGUUCAUCGCUAUUAAAAUGUGGAGUCCUGAGCUGAUGUUCUUCGUAUUUGUUUUUUACUUAAAACUUCCAAAAAUCUUAUGUUUUCUCCUUUGUUAAGUUAAAUGAAAUUAAAUAAACUGAAAUUUUAAAACAGCCGCUUGAAA